GGCUCCUGAAGAAUCCACUAGGGAUGCUCUGGAAGGCUAAGGGGGAUUUUUUUUUUUUUUUAGGGCUUUAAAACCCACUUCUGUACAGCUGCUGGAAGGAAAGGUUUUAGCAGAAGAGCUGGGUUCCAUACUGCCCCUGCCAGCCCUCCCCUCCUCUGAACUUCACACGAUGGUUCCCAAUAUAUGAAGCCCUCAGGGAAGUGGGACAGGGCCAAGGAGUGAGGUGCAGCAGCAAGAGAAAGUCAUCAGGAACAGGAGGUGUGAAGAAUGGGAUGUGACAUGCGGCACGUCACUCUUGCUCGAGGGAGCCAUCUCAGAUCACAUGUGCAACACUGGUUUCCAUUGUGAGUGUUAAGUUUUAAAAGUUUUAUUGACUGUGAAGGGACCCAGAGCAGACUUCUCUUCUUCGCCUGAACCCUAUGGGGAUCUGGAGCCUUGGUACCAUCGGAGCCCCUUGUGCCCAUCAGCCUCCUUGGUGAGGCUCUCCUGAAACUGGACCUCUUACUUUUGGUUGAAGAUCAUCAGAGGUUGAUAAACUCUUUCACUAUGAAAAAUGUUUUACAGAGACUGAAACCCCCGUCAGUUGGAAGAAGUUGACUGACUGCUGCCCACAAGCAUGGAGACCCCAGACCAGCUGGAACCCGAAGGUUGAUGAUGCUGACUCCCACUUACCUCACCACCAACCCCUCAGAAGAACGUCCAGGAGUUGAUCAUACCCUGUCCUUUGAACCAUUACUGUAAAACUCCUCACCAUCCCCUUCAGGUCAGUACACACACUUCUGAGGACAUUAG
rnacentral:lncRNA from 1 species